rnacentral:snRNA from 1 species
CGGACUGGGAACGGCUCU